CCCACGGAUGGGUGAUAAAGACUCACUGACCUAGGCACAGGAAGGGAAAGGGAGGCGAAGGUCAUUUCUGGGUAGUUCUAAAAUAAACCUUUUCCCGUUUGUCCCUGACCAUUGAAUAACCUCCAGAGUCGACCUACUCUGUGUGUGGGGGGUGCGGGGGGUCAGAAGAACUGUCUUUAGCUAGUUGUAGGGACUUGGUUAGAUUACCUUCUGGGCCUAUUUCCUUCUUUAUCAGUGAGUAAAUAAAAUGACAGUAACAAGUCAUGAAAGUGCCUUUCAGUUGCGGCUGUCUAUGAAGCUACGUACCUGGCUCAGUUGGUUUGAAAGCUGAAGCAUUCUCCCUGGCAUUCUCUUGUCAUCGGCAGCCUAGAGGAUGAUCACGGACGUGCAGCUCGCCAUCUUCGCCAACAUGCUGGGCGUGUCGCUUUUCUUGCUUGUGGUCCUCUAUCACUACGUGGCAGUAAAUAACCCCAAGAAGCAGGAAUGAAAGUGGCGUUUUCUCCGCCCCAGGCUUCCAGGACAUAGUCUGAGGCAAGAUGGAGGGUGUGAGGGGCCUUCACACUUCACUUCAUCUCUCCUACCCAUCACAGCAUACAAAGCAACUACACCUGGAUUUUUCCAAACAACUUUUAUUUCCUCAAAGUCUUCCUUAACCCUAUGGAACAAGAAGCUGCCACUGAAUAGGGCCCAGUAUAGGGGCUGCUUUCUUUUCUACUCCCUCCCCCCAAUACAAAAAUAUAGAUAUAUAUAUAUUUUUUUGUGGUCCCAAAAUCUUGUGCUGUGGAGGGAGGGAAGGGGGUGGCAGGUCCCUGUUUUGUUCUGUCUCAAGGUGAUGUUCUGCAAGGCCUGGGACAGCUGAGUCCGAGUGUGGCCGAUAUUCCAAGGAGCUAUGGCUGUCACAUGGCACGAGCAGCUGGAAGACGGGACUAACGUAUCAUUUCACUGUGUCCCCUCACCUUAGGGCUAUAUCCUGGACACGAAGGUAAAGGCAUUAUCAGACCCUGGGAGAGAUAGUGAGUGGUGGAGAUUUAGGGACAAAACAAACCUCACAUUGGUUCAAGAGCCCCCUGCUGUAACAAAUCCGGGAUGGGGAGUCAGAUAGAAUACAGGAAAUAGGAGAAAAGGCGGGGGCAGAGCGGGGCCGUGGGGGGCCGGCCUGAGGCA
rnacentral:lncRNA from 1 species